rnacentral:rRNA from 1 species
GAGCGGCGAACGGGUGAGUAACACGUGAGCAACCUGCCCCUGACUCUGGGAUAAGCCUGGGAAACCGGGUCUAAUACCGGAUAUGACCGUCUCCGGCAUCGGAUGACGGUGGAAAGAUUUUUUGGUCGGGGAUGGGCUCGCGGCCUAUCAGCUUGUUGGUGGGGUAGUGGCCUACCAAGGCGACGACGGGUAGCCGGCCUGAGAGGGCGACCGGCCACACUGGGACUGAGACACGGCCCAGACUCCUACGGGAGGCAGCAGUGGGGAAUAUUGCGCAAUGGGCGGAAGCCUGACGCAGCGACGCCGCGUGGGGGAUGACGGCCUUCGGGUUGUAAACCUCUUUCAGCAGGGACGAAGGUGACGUGUACCUGCAGAAGAAGCGCCGGCUAACUACGUGCCAGCAGCCGCGGUAAUACGUAGGGCGCAAGCGUUGUCCGGAAUUAUUGGGCGUAAAGAGCUCGUAGGUGGCUGGUCGCGUCUGCCGGGAAAGCCCCGCAGCUUAACUGCGGGUCUGCGGUGNAUACGGNCCGGCUAGAGGUAGGUAGGGGCAAGUNGGAUUUCCU